rnacentral:tRNA from 1 species
AGAUUUAAAAAUUUCCACAGGCA